UGGGGAAUAUUGCACAAUGGGCGCAAGCCUGAUGCAGCCAUGCCGCGUGUGUGAAGAAGGCCUUCGGGUUGUAAAGCACUUUCAGCGAGGAGGAAGGUGGUGAGCUUAAUACGCUCAUCAAUUGACGUUACUCGCAGAAGAAGCACCGGCUAACUCCGUGCCAGCAGCCGCGGUAAUACGGAGGGUGCAAGCGUUAAUCGGAAUUACUGGGCGUAAAGCGCACCAGGCGGUUUGUUAAGUCAGAUGUGAAAUCCCCGGGCUCAACCUGGAACUGCAUUUGAAACUGGCAAGCUAGAGUCUCGUAGAGGGGGGUAGAAUUCCAGGUGUAGCGGUGAAAUGCGUAGAGAUCUGGAGGAAUACCGGUGGCGAAGGCGGCCCCCUGGACGAAGACUGACGCUCAGGUGCGAAAGCGUGGGGCAGCAAACAGGAUUAGAUACCCUGGUAGUCC
rnacentral:rRNA from 1 species